UUUUAGCAGUAGUAUGCAUGCUCAUUCAUGCUUCAUUACUAAGUAUGCAUGCUAGGUAUGCAUGCUGAUGCAUACUUCAUAUUAUGUAUACUAAACAUGCAUGCUGUUGCAUACUUAAUACUUCAUAAUUUUAGCAUUAGUAUGCAUUCUCAUUCACGCUAUUACUAAGUAUGCAUGCUGAAGCAUUCUAAGUGUGUACUUCAUGGCAUUGAACAGUCACAUACUCCCGCUUCCAGAGCAGAAUGUGGACUAGGAGUCUGAUUGCAUUUUCUGCCCUUCCGGGUGAAUUACUAUCCUGAAUGUGUGUGUGCUGAAGUAUUUGGUGAUGCUUUUCCUGGAGCUGCAUCAGCGAUUGUGCUCAAAAAUAUCUUCUCAGGAGAGAGAGAUGAAGAGUGAACUAAAGGACCCUGCCUGCGGAAGAGAAAUGGCUAUAUACUGUUGCUUGCAUCCUCUGACCCGUCAGCAGAGGUGGAUUAUGGGACUUGUUUUCUGUCAGACACUGCACUGCACUCUCACUGAAAGGCUCCUCCAGAAACUCACUCUCAGGUCUCCAGAGAAAAGUCAAAGAGAGAAAACACUGAAG
ensembl:lncRNA